GCAAUGGACGAAAGUCUGACCGAGCAACGCCGCGUGAGUGAAGAAGGUUUUCGGAUCGUAAAGCUCUGUUGUAAGUCAAGAACGUGUGUGAGAGUGGAAAGUUCACACAGUGACGGUAGCUUACCAGAAAGGGACGGCUAACUACGUGCCAGCAGCCGCGGUAAUACGUAGGUCCCGAGCGUUGUCCGGAUUUAUUGGGCGUAAAGGGAGCGCAGGCGGUCAGGAAAGUCUGGAGUAAAAGGCUAUGGCUCAACCAUAGUGUGCUCUGGAAACUGUCUGACUUGAGUGCAGAAGGGGAGAGUGGAAUUCCAUGUGUAGCGGUGAAAUGCGUAGAUAUGUGGAGGAACACCAGUGGCGAAAGCGGCUCUCUGGUCUGUCACUGACGCUGAGGCUCGAAAGCGUGGGUAGCGAACAGGAUUAGAUACCCUGGUAGUCCACGCCGUAAACGAUGAGUGCUAGGUGUUAGGCCCUUUCCGGGGCUUAGUGCCGGAGCUAACGCAAUAAGCACUCGCCUGGGGAGUACGACCGCAAGGUUGAAACUCAAAGGAAUUGACGGGGGCCCGCACAAGCGGUGGAGCAUGUGGUUUAAUUCGAAGC
rnacentral:rRNA from 1 species